rnacentral:rRNA from 1 species
ACUCCUACGGGAGGCAGCAGUGGGGAAUAUUGGACAAUGGGGGAACCCUGAUCCAGCCAUGCCGCGUGUGUGAAGAAGGCCUUAUGGUUGUAAAGCACUUUAAGCGAGGAGGAGGCUACUGAGACUAAUACUCUUGGAUAGUGGACGUUACUCGCAGAAUAAGCACCGGCUAACUCUGUGCCAGCAGCCGCGGUAAUACAGAGGGUGCGAGCGUUAAUCGGAUUUACUGGGCGUAAAGCGUGCGUAGGCGGCUUUUAAGUCGGAUGUGAAAUCCCCGAGCUUAACUUGGGAAUUGCAUUCGAUACUGGGGAAGCUAGAGUAUGGGAGAGGAUGGUAGAAUUCCAGGUGUAGCGGUGAAAUGCGUAGAGAUCUGGAGGAAUACCGAUGGCGAAGGCAGCCAUCUGGCCUAAUACUGACGCUGAGGUACGAAAGCAUGGGAGCAAACAGGAUUAGAUACCCCGU